UCCAUUUUUACAAGCGGGAGAAUUUCCCCCCUUGCCUGCCUGUACUUUUCUCCCCCAAAUCGAUUUCUCUCUCUUUCCAUCCCAAAAUUCCCUUUGUUGCUCUCUUCCCGGCCCUAAAUCUCCCCCUCGAAGGUUCCGGCACUAAGGUUUCCGGCGUGAAGGUGGUUUCCAGCAUGAAAGUGGGUUCCUGCGUGAAGAUUUUUUCCGGCAUGAUGCCUUUUUCAGACGUGAAGCUUUUUUCUGGUGUGAAACUGGUUUGCGACUUCUUUGCAACAGUUUACACAUAAGGAAAGUUUGCAAAACAUUAGAGGAGGAUGCUUUAAGCCAAUUUUGCAUCACUAUGAUGGUCCCAAGUUUUGGCUUGAGCUGUCUAUCCCUAAGAUAGCAAGGAAAGUUUUGGAUGCGGCUACGCAUUGUGUGUGAUAACCGAUGAAAUCUGGUGUUAACGACGACAUUUGCUCAGGUUCCGGCCAGAUUAAGGUUCCGGUUGAUAUUUGGUCAAGCUCUUUUGUCUUGCAGGUCUGAUCUUAGAGGUGACGUUGGCCGCCGAUGAAAGUGGAGGUGGUGUUCGACAGUUGCAACGGUACAAGUCAGGGGAUCUCAC
rnacentral:lncRNA from 1 species